CUGUUUGCAAGGAAGAAAGGAGAAAUAGAAGUUGAGCAGGCCACCAACAGGAAACACAAUAGUCUACAAAUGCCUGCAACAAAGGACUAGUCCUAAGAUGUUGAGGGCAACAUCUUAGUGCACCUCUUCACUUAGAAAUCAAGUCGUUUGUCAGGUGCCAAUGAAAAAAUUUUCAAUACCUUCAGACUGACAGUCUCCAGAAGUGAAUGCUGGCUCUCCACAGCUCACUAAAGGUCACCUAGCACGGCACAUGGCCAAGUGGAUGUUUUGGGAUUGGCUCAUUCCUCCCUCUGCUUUGAGGCCCCAAGGAUCUGGGGUUGCUCUCCUGUGUUGACGGAUCCUCCAAACGUCUAUACAAUGCUCACUCCACACUUGGCAAAGAGAAUCUCCUCUGGGAUAGAGCCACAUAGGCCUGAAGAGAGAUGACUCCCAGUCCUGUCCUUUCACUUCAAAUAAAUAAACACAAAAGUAAAACAAAAGACAGACAGACAAAAAGCAGACUCAAGGAACAGAAUUAGGAAAACGUACGCUUUCACAAAAACAAGAGAGAGUAAAAGGACACCAAGGGGAAAACCUACCUCUGUUCACCCGAGCUCUGAGGAAUCAGUAUUUUUAAAACUAUUUUUUUAAAAGCAAGAAGACCCUCAUCUCACACAGCAAGAUGCAGCCCCUUGAUCUUGGACUUCCCAGCAUCCAGAACCUAAGUCAUUAUGCUUUGGCCAAACCAGGCUGCCCACCAGUUUCCUGAGCAUGUUUGCACUCUUCUUGGGGAUCCUGCCUCUGCUUCUCUCCAGUUACCUAAGAUUAAGUCAGUGCUCUUCAAGAUCAAGUUGAAGAUCCAGCUCCUGAACUGGAGAUUCCCAGUCUCUGCCUUGGGGAUCCCUCUGUCCUCCUGAUUCUCAUAGUAUGUUAUCAAUGAAACUUAUUUUACAUUUAUUAUUUUGAACUGCAGUGUUACUAAUCUUUUAAUAGGUAUCUCUCCACUGCAUUACAACCUUUGAAUUUUAACUUAUUAAGGUAUCCCUAGUGUCGACGGUGCUUCGUACCUCAGAGUUAGUGGACAGUGUGCCAAUGUAAGGAUGAUCUAUCAGCUUUCAUAACACACCAGCCCCAAACUUCUCAACCUAAAUGACAAAGUUGGUGUGGGCUGUAUUCAAAAAAUACCAUAAACUGUUGUGACUCAAACAAAAAAUAUUUAUUUCUCACCCUUCUGGAAGCUAAGUGGUCUCAGAUUGAGGUGCUAGCAGGUUUGGUGUCUGGUGAGGGCUUUCUGUUUUAAAGGCAGCACAUUCUAAGAUCUGCGUCCUCAUACUGGGGAAGGAAUGAGCUGCUUGUGCACAUUGUAUAAGGGCACUAAUACCAUUCGUGAGGGGUUCCACCCCUAUAACUUCAUCUAGUCCAGUUAACUCUCAAAUACCCCAACUCCUAAUGCCACCAGAUUAGGAGGGAAGAAUUUUAACAUGCGAAUUUUGGGAGACACAAGCGUCAGUCUGUAUCAAUGCAACUAUUCAUUGGAGUUCAUGAUGGUAUGGGUUAGAUGGAUUUUUUUUUUUUCCUGGUCUGGACUGGUUAGGUUGGUUGGGGCUGGAUGGUCUAGCAUGUUUUCAUUCAUGUCUGGGGCCUCAUGUAGAAUCCUGGGAAAAUGAAUACAUGUGGUGCCUCUUUUCAUUCUCAAGCAGGCGGGACCAGGCUGUUCACAUGGUGGCAAAAGUGUCCCACCAGUGAGAGUGUCUUCAUGUACCACGAUUGCUAUCUUCCCAUUAGCCAAAGAAGGUCACUUAACCAAGCCUAGAUUCAAUGGACAAAGAAAUAGAAUACUGCUUACAUUUCAAGUACAUUUUUUUUUUUUAUUGUUGGUUGUUCAAAACAUUACAUAGUUCUUGAUAUAUCAUCUUUCACACUUUGCUUCAAGUGGGUUAUGAACUCCCAUUUUUAGCCCAUAUACAGAUUGCAGAAUCACAUCAAUUACACAUCCAUUGAUUUACAUAUUGCCAUACUUGUGACUGUCAUGUUCUGCUACCUUUCCUAUCCUCUACUAUCAAGUACAUUUCAAAGCAGAACAAGAACAAAUUGAAAGCUAUUCCUUCAACAAUCUAACCCAGAUGCUUCCAGUUUCCAAUGAACUCAAACACUUCAACAUUCCUCUCAGUUCAAGAAGCAGGCCUAUUUUCCACCUUGGUUUCUGCUUGCCUGUGAAACUAUAUUUCUACUGGCAUGCCAGAGUUCUUCCCCCAGGGGCCAAUCCCAUGCUGUUUGCUCUGCUUGGAAUGCUGCACCCCCCCCCCCCUUCUUGCCAAGCUAAUUAUUACAUUUCCUUUAAGUCCCUUCCUAAAGUCACUUCCUGAGGGGAGCCUUUCCUGACUGUCCAGAGCAGGCCAGGUCUCCUGUGCUGCACGUCAGAGCUCCACGGUAGCUGCGUUACAACACUCUCCAUGAGUGAGUGUUUUGAAUUGUUUUGUGGUGCAGUUCUUUGUUUAAUGUUGUCUGUCCUCAUCUGAAAGUGUUUCAGGGCAGAGACUGAGUCUAUCUUGUUCCUUGCUGAGUUAUCGACAUUUAGCAAGAGCUUAGCAUAGAGCAGGUACCUUAGGAAAAAAAUGAAUGAACGUAAGAAUGCGCGGAGGGGCUCUGCAUGCUCAGCAUGGUAGAGGCCCGUUCAGAAACCUCCCAGAUUAGAAGGCAUAGGAAACUGCGACUUAUGGGAGAGUGAGACUGGGUCACACAAAAUGAUUCAGGAACAACUCCAUACCAAAUGACAGUGAAAUGCCAGAUGUUGGACUGUAAGUGCCGUGGGAAAUCAGGAUAAAGGGAUUGGAAUUGGCCAAGUGGACACAGAAAACCUUAUCUAGAAGGCAGCACCUGAGCCAGGUCCAGAGGAGGAACAGGAUUUAGAUGCAAUGAAGUUAGGGAAGGAGGCUAAUAUGACCAGGUCAUGAGUUGGAUCCUCAGUUGCUCCUAUUGGACUCAUGGCCUCACAAGCUACUGAUCCCAACAGAGAACAGGCUGGAGAGUCGGUCGGGAUGGUUCUACAAAGCUAUUCCUACCAUCCCUGAAACAACUCAAGAAGAUUAUGUUUGGAGGAGACCGCAAAGUUGAUUAAAAUAGCUCACUCACAGAGACCUAACAUCUGCUUCUACUCUUCUAGAAACCUUGUGGUCUGGACACUCUCUGUCCCUCUUCAUCUCUUUCACUUUUCACUAUUUAUUAUGAAAACCUCCCAAACAUACACAAAGAAAGUACGAGAAAUCCCAUCGCCAAUUUCAACAAGCAGCAAUACCAUAUUUGUUUUAUAAGUCUCUCUCUCUCCCCAACCCUCUCUUUCUCUCUUUUAACUAAAGCAUGUUAGAACAAAUCCCAGAUAAAAUAUCAUAACACCCCUUAAAUAUUUCAAUAUGAUGUCUAAAAGAAAUAAGGGCAUUUUCUUAUAUAAUCACAAUACCUUUUCACGCCUAAAAAAAAUAAAGCAAAAUUCCUCAAUAUCAUUUAAUACCCAGUCUAUAUUCAAAAUUUUCUGAUUGAUUAAAAAAUAUCUUUUUAUAGUUGGUUUAGUGGAAUCAAGAUCUAAAUGAGAUCCACACAUGAGUUUUGUGACAUGUCUCUUAAAUCUCUUUUUAUCCAGGCUAAUGGGUGUUCUCUUUUGACUGGGGUUUCUCUUUGCUGACAACAUGCCUCAGACCUCAUAGCCUUUAUCUCACCCUUACAUUGGCAGGGAGCUAAGAGAUUAGGAGUGAAGUCUGUAUGGAGAGAAAGUGGGGGGAAGGAGGGAAUAUCAGAGUCCUCAGAUCUUAUGAAAAGAAAUACCUAAUCAGCUUCAAGAGAAACAGAUUAGAGUAAGAGACUCUUAAGAACUGGAGUUGAUCUGCAUGCUCUCCUAACACCUAAGAAUGACAAGAAUUUACCAAGAUCUUAAGAGGUGGAUUCCUGUGGGUGAGAGGGGGAGGGCCAGAGAAAGGAAAUCAGAAUGAAUCUGAAGGACAGCUCAGAAGCAUAGGCAGGACUAAUGUGCUGGACCCAGAGCAAAAUUAAAAGCCCAGAACUCUCCUUCAAAAAGUAUUAGGAAUUUCAGGGCAGCAACAGCAAAGCAUUAAACCAAGCCUUGGGACCCUGCUGAGCAGAGAGAGAGGGUACAGAGACCUGUGUGACUGCAUGUGGCCAAGUCCAGGAGGCCCCUGGGAGCUAUAUUACAAAGCAAUGCUUUGCUAGCAAGUGUCUUGUUUGUGUUUCAGAGAUGAGCAGAGGCAGGGGAAAGCCUUCCUACAUCUGAUAGCUACCACCAGCAUCUUAGACUUGUCAGGAUGCUUAGCAAUGGUGCAUGGCUUCCAGAGGGUCAUAGAUCAAUGCUAUAUAAUUCUCACCCAGGGGUAGUGUGGGUGUGGAUCCUCUAGCUUUUGCACUAGACUAUGUGAGCAUGGGCUCUAGAGUCAGAAAGCCCAGCUUCAUUUCCAGACUCUGUUACUUACUGGUUACUGUAUAACCUCAGUCAGUUACUUGACUUUCUAUUUUAUGCAGUUAAUAAAAGUACCUACCUCAGAGGGUUAUAUGAGAAUUAAAUUAGUCCUUAUUGGCUGAC